rnacentral:rRNA from 1 species
GACGAACGCUGGCGGCGUGCUUAACACAUGCAAGUCGAACGGAAAGGCCCUGCUUUUGUGGGGUGCUCGAGUGGCGAACGGGUGAGUAACACGUGAGUAACCUGCCCUUGACUUUGGGAUAACUUCAGGAAACUGGGGCUAAUACCGGAUAGGAGCUCCUGCUGCAUGGUGGGGGUUGGAAAGUUUCGGCGGUUGGGGAUGGACUCGCGGCUUAUCAGCUUGUUGGUGGGGUAGUGGCUUGCCAAGGCUUUGACGGGUAGCCGGCCUGAGAGGGUGACCGGCCACAUUGGGACUGAGAUACGGCCCAGACUCCUACGGGAGGCAGCAGUGGGGAAUAUUGCACAAUGGGCGGAAGCCUGAUGCAGCAACGCCGCGUGCGGGAUGACGGCCUUCGGGUUGUAAACCGCUUUCGCCUGUGGCGAAGCGUGAGUGACGGUAAUGGGUAAAGAAGCACCGGCUAACUACGUG